rnacentral:rRNA from 1 species
GACGAACGCUGGCGGCGUGCCUAAAACAUGCAAGUAGAACGCACAGUUUAUACCGUAGCUUGCUACACCAUAGACUGUGAGUUGCGAACGGGUGAGUAACGCGUAGGUAACCUGCCUGGUAGCGGGGGAUAACUAUUGGAAACGAUAGCUAAUACCGCAUAAUAUUAAUUAUUGCAUGAUAAUUAAUUGAAAGGUGCAAUUGCACCACUACCAGAUGGACCUGCGUUGUAUUAGCUAGUAGGUGAGGUAACGGCUCACCUAGGCGACGAUACAUAGCCGACCUGAGAGGGUGAUCGGCCACACUGGGACUGAGACACGGCCCAGACUCCUACGGGAGGCAGCAGUAGGGAAUCUUCGGCAAUGGACGAAAGUCUGACCGAGCAACGCCGCGUGAGUGAAGAAGGUUUUCGGAUCGUAAAGCUCUGUUGUAAGAGAAGAACGGGUGUGAGAGUGGAAAGUUCACACUGUGACGGUAUCUUACCAGAAAGGGACGGCUAACUACGUG